AGAGAAUUGCUUGAACCCGGGAGGUGGAGGUUGUAGUGAGCCGAGAUCGCGCCACUGCACUCCAGCCUGGGCAACAGAGUGAGACUCCAUCUCAAAAAAACAAAACAAAAAACCAAUAAGCCCAGAAUUGGCCAGAACCCACAACCCAGUGAGACUGCGCUGUGCCAGGAUGCCCACCACCUCCAUGCCGAGAGGAGGGGGCCACAGCCCUGGCAUGCAGCCCUGCCCAGUAGCCCGGCACCUGCCCCUGCCACGCAGGAGGCCCCCCGGCCUGCCAGCAGCCUCAGGCCUCCCCGCUGUGGCGUGCCCGACCCACCUGAUGGGCUGAGUGCCCGCAACCGACAGAAGAGGUUCGUGCUUUCUGGCGGGCGCUGGGAGAAGACGGACCUCACCUACAGGAUCCUUCGGUUCCCAUGGCAGUUGGUGCAGGAGCAGGUGCGGCAGACGAUGGCAGAGGCCCUAAAGGUAUGGAGCGAUGUGACGCCACUCACCUUCACUGAGGUGCACGAGGGCCGUGCUGACAUUGUGAUCGACUUCGCCAGGUGAAUGGGCGGCCUGGGACCCCUCCGGGAACAGCCUCGCCUGCCAGCAGCCACUGACCCCGCCCCCACCCAUCUGUAGGUACUGGCAUGGGGACGACCUGCCGUUUGAUGGGCCUGGGGGCAUCCUGGCCCAUGCCUUCUUCCCUAAGACUCACCGAGAAGGGGAUGUCCACUUCGACUAUGAUGAGACCUGGACUAUCGGGGAUGACCAGGGCACAGACCUGCUGCAGGUGGCAGCCCAUGAAUUUGGCCACGUGCUGGGGCUGCAGCACACAACAGCAGCCAAGGCCCUGAUGUCUGCCUUCUACACCUUUCGCUACCCACUGAGUCUCAGCCCAGAUGACCGCAGGGGCGUUCAACACCUAUAUGGCCAGCCCUGGCCCACUGUCACCUCCAGGACCCCAGCCCUGGGCCCCCAGGCUGGGAUAGACACCAAUGAGAUUGCACCGCUGGAG
rnacentral:sRNA from 1 species